AACGCACCUUGCACCUAGGGCGUAAGCUCUAGGUAUGCCUGUUUGAGAAUCGCAAACAUCCUCAACCUUGGUCUAGGUUGGACUUGGCCAACUCCGUUGGCUGGAAUGCAGUAGGCUGUGCCCGCUUGCGGUGCUAGACAUUGUGUGCCAGAGCGUCACGAUGCGGCUAGCAUAUUCAACGCGACCGGUGCUUAAGCCUUUCUACUCUAUUAUUGAUCUCAAAUCAGGCAAGGCUACCCGCUGAACUUAA
rnacentral:misc_RNA from 1 species